rfam:Ovis aries breed Texel chromosome 1, whole genome shotgun sequence.
UCCACAGUGGCUCAGAUGGUAAAGAAUCUGCCUGCAAUGCAGGAGACCCAGGUUCAAUCCCUGGGUUGGGAA